AGUUAGUAUCUCCUGAAGCACUUAAUUAAACAAUGAUGCUCCAUCCAGAGAAGUUGUCCAACUCUGUGGAGGAUGACAAACCCCAUGUCAUUUGUCAGAACU